rnacentral:rRNA from 1 species
GGCGUACUAAUCUGCGAUAAGCGCCGGUAAGGUGAUAUGAACCGUUAUAACCGGCGAUACCCGAAUGGGGAAACCCAGUGUGAUUCGUCACACUAUCAUUAACUGAAUCCAUAGGUUAAUGAGGCGAACCGGGGGAACUGAAACAUCUAAGUACCCCGAGGAAAAGAAAUCAACCGAGAUUCCCCCAGUAGCGGCGAGCGAACGGGGAGGAGCCCAGAGCCUGAAUCAGCAUGUGUGUUAGUGGAAGCGUCUGGAAAGGCGCGCGAUACAGGGUGACAGCCCCGUACACAAAAGCGCAUGUGCUGUGAGCUCGAUGAGUAGGGCGGGACACGUGGUAUCCUGUCUGAAUAUGGGGGGACCAUCCUCCAAGGCUAAAUACUCCUGACUGACCGAUAGUGAACCAGUACCGUGAGGGAAAGGCGAAAAGAACCCCGGCGAGGGGAGUGAAAAAGAACCUGAAACCGU